rnacentral:rRNA from 1 species
UGCGUAGGCGGUUUACUAAGUCAGAUGUGAAAGCCCCGGGCUUAACCUGGGAACUGCAUUUGAUACUGGUAGGCUAGAGUAUGAUAGAGGGGGGUAGAAUUCCUGGUGUAGCGGUGAAAUGCGUAGAUAUCAGGAGGAAUACCAGUGGCGAAGGCGGCCCCCUGGAUCAAUACUGACGCUGAGGUACGAAAGCGUGGGCAGCGAACA